rnacentral:piRNA from 1 species
UGCUAUGAAGUUUUCUCUAGUUAGGACCAGA